AAUGAGGCCAGUCGAGCCCAGCGAACCGCGCGGGUGGCUCCACCGAGCCGGGGCGAGGCGGCGGCGACUAAAGCCAUGGCCGGGGCGUUGGAGGGUCUGGCCGCGGGCUUGCACGGCCCGCGGGUCGUCCCCAGCCAAGACUCGGACUCAGACACAGACUCGGAGGACCCGAGUACCCGGCGCAGCGCGGGCGGGCUGCUCCGCUCGCAGGUCAUCCACAGCGGUCACUUCAUGGUGUCGUCGCCGCACAGCGACUCGCUGACCCGGCGGCGCGACCAGGAGGGGCCCAUGGGGCCCGCAGACUUCGGGCCGCGCAGCAUCGACCCCACCCUCACCCGCCUCUUCGAGUGCAUGAGCCUGGCCUACAGUGGCAAGCUGGUGUCUCCCAAGUGGAAGAAUUUCAAAGGCCUCAAGCUGCUUUGCAGAGACAAGAUCCGCCUCAACAACGCCAUCUGGAGGGCCUGGUACAUCCAGUAUGUGGAGCAGAGGAAGAGCCCCGUGUGUGGCUUCGUGACCCCCCUGCAGGGGCCUGAGGCUGAUGAGCACCGGAAACCAGAGGCCGUGGUCCUGGAGGGCAAUUACUGGAAGCGGCGCAUCGAGGUGGUGAUGCGCGAGUACCACAAGUGGCGCAUCUACUACAAGAAACGGCUCCGUAAAUCCAGCAGGGAAGGGGACCUCCUGACCCCAAAGCAGGCGGAAGGGGGUUGGCAGCCACCAGAGCGAUGGUGCGAGCAGCUCUUCUCGAGCGUGGUGCCCGUGCUGCUGGGGGGCCCGGAGGAGGAGCCCAGCGGGCGGCAGCUGCUGGACCUCGAUUGCUUUUUGUCCGACAUCUCCGACACGCUCUUCACCAUGACGCAGCCCAGCUCCGCGCCCCUGCAGCUGCCCCCUGAGGACGCCUACGUGGGCAAUGCUGACAUGAUCCAGCCGGACCUGACGCCCCUGCAGCCCAGCCUGGACGACUUCAUGGAGAUCUCAGAUUUCUUCACCAGCUACCGCCCCCCACCGACGCCCACGCCCUCACACUUCCCAGAGCCCCCCAGCUUUGGCCCCAUGGCUGACCCUUUCUUCAGCAGUGGGAUCUUGGGCUCAGAGGUGCCCCCUGCCUCGUCGGGUGUGACCCACCUCUCAGGGCAUAACCGCCUGCAGGCCCGGAGCAGCUGCCCUGGCCCCCUGGACUCCAGUGCCUUCCUGAACUCUGAUUUCCUCCUUCCUGAAGACCCCAAGCCCAAGCUCCCACCUCCGCCAGUCCCCCCACCCCUCCUCCAAUACCGGGCCCUUGCCAAGGGGCCUGGCCUGGAGCCCUGUCCCCCACCCACCUUCCCUCCCAUGGCUCCUCCCCCUGCUUUGCUGCCGGAAGAGCCUCUCUUCUCUCCCAGAUUCCCCUUCUCCACUGUCCCCCAGGGCCCAGGAGUGUCCCCACUGCCUGCUCCCACUGCCUUCCCACCCACCCCACAGCCGGGUCCAGGCCCGGCCCCUGGCCCCUUCCCCAUAGACCUUCUGCCCUCAGGGUAUCUGGAGCCCACAUUUGGGCCCCACUUCACAGUGCCCCAAGGCAUGCGGCCCAGAGGCAGGCCCCCCACCCCAUCCCCUAGAGGGCGGAAGCCCAGCCCCCCGACUUUGGCCCCUGCCAUUGCCAACCCCACCGUCACUGCCGGGGGCAGCAACCCCUGCCUCACGCAGCUGCUCACAGCAGCGAAGCCCGAGCAGACCCUGGAACCAGCACUUGUGUCCAGCACCCUCCUCCGGCCCUCAGGGUCCCCGCAGGAGACGGCCCCUGAAUUCCCCUGCACCUUUCUACCCCCGACCCCGGCCCCCACACCGCCCCAGCCACCUCCAGGCCCGGCCACACUGGCCCCUCCCAGGCCCCUGAUUGUCCCCAAAGCGGAGCGGCUCUCGCCCCCAGCGCACAGCGGUGGUGAGCGACGGCUGUCUGGGGAGCUCAGCUCCAUGCGGGGCCCGGGGACUCUGAGUGUCUGCGUCUCUCCCCCUCAACCCAUCCUAAGCCGGGGCCGUCCAGACAACAACAAGACUGAGAACCGGCGCAUCACCCACAUCUCUGCAGAGCAGAAGCGGCGCUUCAACAUCAAGCUGGGGUUUGACACCCUGCACGGGCUAGUGAGCACACUCAGCGCCCAGCCCAGCAUCAAGGUGAGCAAAGCAACCACGCUGCAGAAGACAGCCGAGUACAUCGCCAUGCUGCAGCAGGAGCGCGCGGCCUUGCAGGAGGAGGCCCAGCAGCUACGGGACCAGAUCGAGGAGCUCAACGCUGCCAUUAACCUGUGCCAGCAACAGCUGCCUGCUACUGGGGUGCCCAUCACACACCAGCGUUUCGACCAGAUGCGAGACAUGUUUGACGACUACGUCCGUACCCGGACGCUGCACAACUGGAAGUUCUGGGUGUUCAGCGUCCUCAUUCGGCCUCUGUUCGAGUCCUUCAAUGGGAUGGUGUCCACUGCAAGCUUGCAGAGCCUCCGCCAGACCUCCCUGGCUUGGCUGGACCAGUACUGCUCCCUGCCCGCUCUCCGGCCAACUGUCUUGAACUCUCUCCGCCAGCUGAGCACAUCUACGAGCAUCCUGACAGAUCCAGGCUGUAUACCUGAGCAGGCCACACGGGCGGUCACAGAGGGCACCCUUGCUCUCUCUACGGUGCAGGGAACAGGUGCACCCAGGCCUGGAGGGCUAUCUGUUGCUGCAGACAAAGGUUUGAAGUGGCUGAGAGGUAAAAUCCUAACGGUGGGGGCACCCGGGUGGCUCAGUCGUUAAGCGUCUGCCUUCGGCUCGGGUCACGAUCCCAGGGUCCUGGGAUCGAGCCCCACAUCGGGCUCCCUGCUCAGCGGGGAGCCUGCUUCUCCCUCUCCCACUCCCCCCUGCUUGUGUUCCCUCUCUCGCUGUGUCUCUGUCAAAUAAAUAAAAUCUUUAAAAAAAAAAAAUCCUAACGGUGUGCUUUGCUGUUUUUCCCCCACGCACACCCUCCCAGGAAUGUCCCCAUAAGACAUCCCCUUGACCCCCCUUGACCCUGUGUCCCCCCACUAGAUGCCACUUUUCCUUGAGAGAGCUAUCUAUACUUGCUCUCCCUCUCUCCUCCCCUCCCACUCACCCCAUCUUUGGUCUCCUCCUCCCCACUUCCACCCCAGCCUCACCCCAAACUGAGUCGCUGUUACUAAGGUCACUUGACUCCCUCAUUGCCAAAUCCAAAUUUGCAGUGCUCUUCCUGCCUUCCCCUGGGCCCUUGGAUCUCAUUUUUUUUAAAAGAUUUUAUCUGAGAGAGAGAGCAGAGGGACAGAAGGAGAGGGAGCAGCAGAUGACCCCCCCACCCCACACUGAGCAGGGAGCCUGGCGAGGGGCUCAGUUCCAGGACUCUGGGAUCAUGACCUGAGCUGAAGACAGACGCCUAACCAACUGAGCCACCCAGGCGCCCCAGCUUGGACCUCAUUCUAGAACCACCCUUUCCUCAUGAAUCCAGAAUUCUCUCCAGGCUCUCCCUCCUCCCUGACAGUGCCUUCCCAGGGCCUGCUGUGGGAGCCUCUUCUUCCGCCUGACCCUUCCUGGCCCACUUCCUUCUUACUUUGUGGCAAGCCCCAGGUAACAGCAUUCCCUUUGGCCUCUCUGCCGAGGAUCCACUCUUCUGGAUCUGCCCUGCUUUGCCCCUGGAGCUACAAAAGCACAUAUCCAACUGCCACCCUAACCCCUCCCUUCUUGAUGUUUCACAGCUCCCUUUACCUCGAAGGAACCAAAACAGAACUCAUCAUUUCUUUUUUUUUUUUUUUUAAGAUUUUAUUUAUUUGACAGUGAGAGAGAGAGAGAGCAUAAGCAGGGGGAACAGCAGAUGGAGAAACAGGCUUCCCGCAGAGCAGGGAGCCUGAUGCGGGGCUCGAUCCCAGGACCCCGGGAUCAUGACCUGAGCCGAAGGCAGAUGCUUAACGACUAAGCCACUCAGGUGUCCCAGAACUCAUCAUUUCUGAGACCAUAGCCCACAGUCUUCCUCCUCAAAGCUGGUCCUCUUCGUGUUCCCCAUCCCCAGGAAGGGUGCCACCAUCCAGACACUUAUACAAGCUGGAAACAGUCAUCUUCAGCUCCUGUCAACAUCCCACUGCCCUGUGGUACCUGUUAUCAAGGCCUGGCCAGGUGACCUCGUAGGCAUCCAUCCCCACAGCCACCACCCUGGUCCAACAGAACAUCCCCUUCUACGUAUAGUCUUGUAUUAGUUGGCUGUAUCCCUGACAGCUGCUUUUCAAACUUAAAUGUGCACUUGAAUAACGUGCUUUAAAAAAUCUUCACGACCAGACCCAGUCUAGACCAAUUAAAUCAGAAGCCUUCCGUGUGGAAGGUUCGACCACCAGCAUUUCUUAAGUGAUUCCAAUAUGCAACCAAGGUUAAGAACCACUGUAAGAAGAUGCUUUGAGCUGCAAAUAACAAGUGUCUGGAGCUCAAGUUAGUUAAAUUGGUGGAUCUUUUUUUUUUUUAAGAUUUUAUUUAUUUAUUUGACAGAGACACAGCGAGAGAGGGAAUACAAGCAGGGGGAGUGGGAGAGAGAGAAGCAGGCUUUCCACGGAGCAGGGAGCCCGAUGUGGGGCUCGAUCCCAGAACCCUGGGAUUAUGACCUGAACUGAAGGCAGACGCUUAACGACUGAGCCACCCAGGCACCCCUAAAUUGGUGGAUCUUAAACCGUACUAUGCAUCAGAAUCACUUAGCCAGUGGGGCUUUUUAAAAUACAGAUUGCCGGGGGACCCCACCUCCAGAAUUUCUGAGUCAACAGGUCUGGGAUGGAGUCUAAGAAUUUACAUUUACAAUGAUGCUGGGCCACGGCCAUACAGCCAAGUCUCACUGCCCCUGAAAACCCAUUGGUAGAGCUCCCAGUAGAGCUCCUUCCCUGGUCUGCCCAGCCUUCCCAAGUCCUGCUUUGUGUCAUUGGUUGUCCUUCCACAAGCUAACCUUGGCUUCCAACUGUGACACUUGAGGGUAAGAGCCAGGCCUUAUCACCACUGAGUGGCGAGGUAGGAGGAGGAUGGGUCUUGGAGUGUAGUGGACCCCGGUUUACCACCCACCCCAAUGAGUUGUAUCUCUUGCUUCCUUGUUGACCUUGGGUAAGUCACUUGACCUGAGCCUAAUUUUUUUUUUCAUUUGUUUAAUUUCAUAGCAUCACUGGCCUUAGAGGCUGCUAGAAAAAUCAACUAAACUGAUGUGGAAGAAUUCUGUAGCCUUGACUGAGCUGUCCACAGAGCCCUAUUUUUUUCUUCUCCUUGUCCCCCACAUCAAAAGAUUGGAGUCACAGACAGACCUGCAUGUGUUGCCACGUUCACUCUUCUCCUGUGUGAUCUGGAAAGUCAAUUAAUGAGCACCUCCUAGAGCAUCAGUUUCCUAAUCUGUGGGAUGGGAAUGGGAGAUUAAAUUAAAUACAAAGCUCCCGGAUCAAUAAAUGUCACAUGCAAAAUGCUCGGUGAAUGAAGUUCUUAAAAGUACAGCUUUGUCGGGACACCUGGCUGGCUCAGUCAGAGGAGCAUUUGACUCUUGAUCUUAGGGUCGUUGAGUUUGAGCCCCACGUUGGGUGUAGAGAUUGCUUAAAUAAAUAAACUAAAAAAAAAAAAGUAUAGCUUUGUCUCUAGGUGAUAUAGUGGUUCAUGGCUGGUCUACAGUUCUAAAUAGCAAAUUAAGGAGGAAAAGCCCCAGGAUGUUCUGGACACCCCCUCCCAGCUGUCCCCACCCCACUGCCCACAGCUGAGUCAAUGACAACCUCCCCCCCGCCCCCCCCCCCCCCCCCCCCGCCCCGGACCAAGGACAAAAGGGAAGGAAAUGAGGCCACACUCCAUCUGCUCUCUGACUGGAUCUAUGUCCUCAACCGAGCUUAUGGAUGUAUCUGUCUGUCACCUGGUCUCUGCACCAGCCCUUCUCUUUAGAGGGUCCUUCUAAAGGCCCGAGAACCUGCACUCUCAGGAGAGGUUCCCUGGUGGGCACGGAAACCUUUGAAUCUGGAAUCCCUGACCCUGGUAUUUCAACUCACUCUGCGCUGCAGGGCUGGGAGGCCCACGGGGCACUGCUCCUUGUUCUGAGAACACUCUCUUUCCAGCCAAGCAGGUCUAAUUCAAAUCCUAUCAAUUAGCUCUGUAGACCGUAUCAAUGCCAAUUUCCCGGUUUUGGUAUCGCACUAUUGCUACGUGAGACGUUACCACUGGAGGAAACCGGGUGAAGGUACGGGGAACCUUCCUGUUGGCUUUCCCAAACUCCUUGUGAAUCUAUAAUUUCAAAAUAAAAACAUCUCGUUAAAAAUCUUUUCAAGUUCCUCUCCACUCUCCAGGCCACCCCUAAGUCUAGGUCCUUAUCACUUUCCUCUUGGAUCCUAGCAACCGCCUCCUGAUUUUCCUUCUGUCUUUGGUCUUGGCACACACUGGUCCAUCCAGACGGUCUCAUCCCCGCCUUGCCUCCUCGAAAGGAUCCACCGUGGAGAUGGCUGGAACAGCGCCUUUAAUAAACGAUUAUCAGUAAAUUACUCAAGAGGAUGACUCGGCAGAGCCUUCAGAUCUUGCCCUCGAGCGAGCUUCGCAAGCCAAACACCAGAAGAGCCGAGCCCCGCCCCUCGGAACGCUCCAACGAUCAGGCCCCGCCCCGCGAGACGAGCCAACGGCCAAGCCCCGCCCCUAGGGACGCCCCAACGGUCAGGCCCCGCCCCCACGGUGCCCAACGGCCAGACCCCGCCCCUCGGGACGGGCCAACGGCCAGACCCCGCCCCGCGUGCGUGCGCGGCCCCGCGGAGGCGUGCCGGCGCCAGCGUAGUGGGAGGCUGAGGUGGCAGCGCCCUGCCAACAUGGAGCUGCCGCAGAUGCCGGAGCUGAUGGGCCUGUCGCUGUUUCUCGGGUUGCUGGCCCUGGUGGCGACGGCGGCGGUAGCGCGGGGUUGGCUGCGCGCGGAGGAGGAGACGUGCAGCCGGUCCGCCGGCCAAAAAGCAAAUGGAUUGCCACUUGACAAGUCCUUGAGAUCCAAGAAGCAGAAACAGCAUCAACGAAUUCGCAAGGAGAAGCCUCAACAGCACAACUUCACUCACCGCCU